rnacentral:rRNA from 1 species
UACGUAGGGGGCGAGCGUUGUCCGGAUUUAUUGGGCGUAAAGAGCGUGUAGGCGGCUAGGUAGGUCCGCUGUGAAAACUCGGGGCUCAACCCCGAGCGGUCGUGAGAAACUGGCAGGCUAGAGUGCGGGAGAGGAGAGUGGAAUUCCUGGUGUAGCGGUGAAAUGCGCAGAUAUCAGGAGGAACACCGGUGGCGAAGGCGGGUCUCUGGGCCGAUACUGACGCUGAGGAGCGAAAGCGUGGGGGAGCGAACAGG